CGGACCACCAAUUCAACGGGUCUCGCUCCUCCCUCUAACUUCCACCUCGAGGAGGUCCCACAACACCCCAAUGAAUGGACGGACAACCAAGAUUAAAAUGUAACAAUUUUAUUUGUUUAAAAGUUUGGGGAAAGGGGUAAGGAAACUUUAAAACUAAUGAUGACUCGAACUAUUCUUUAUCCACAAAUACGGAUUCCAGUCUCAAGAACACUCCUCUUCAGCCCUUCCUCGACAACACUCCACUUCAGCCCUUAAUUUCCCGCCGACUCCACUCCAGGUAAGUUUAAAGCAAGAGCUAGGCAGUUGACGUGCAGGGGUUCUAGCUCUCAGGUAAAUACAGUGUUCGAUACACAGGUGGGUAUUCACAGGGCUGGGCUGUUAGCGUGCAGGGGUUCUAGCUCUCAGGUAAGUACAGUGUUCGAUACACAGGUAAGUAUUCACAGGGCUGGGCUGUUAGCGUGCAGGGGUUCUAGCUCUCAGGUAAAUACAGUGUUCGAUACACAGGUGGGUAUUCACAGGGCUGGGCUGUUAGCGUGCAGGGGUUCUAGCUCUCAGGUAAGUACAGUGUUCGAUACACAGGUAAGUAUUCACAGGGCUGAGCUGUUAGCGUGCAGGGGUUCUAGCUCUCAAUGUAAG